rnacentral:lncRNA from 1 species
CAUUUAGUUGUCAUGACUCUUUCAGUCUGGAACAGUUCCUCAGUUUUUCUUUGACCUUUAUGACCUUAAAUCUUUUGAAGAGUAAAGUCCAAUAAUACAGAAUGUCCCUCCAUUGGAUUUCUCUGAACUUUUUUUAUGAUAAGAUUUAGAUGAUAAUUUUUUUUUUGGCAAGAGUAUCACAGAAGUUAUCCCAUGAUCUUCUCACUGCAUUCUAUCAGGUGACCUGCAAUUAUUAUUAUUUUUUAUUUUCAUCUUUUAAGUUCAGGGGUACAUGUGCAGGAUGUGCAGGAUGUCCAGGUUUGUUACAUAGCUUGCCAUUCUGUGUCUUUCAUUGGAAAACACAUUGAGAUUUAAGAAAGAUCAUCUUCAAGCUCUGAGAUUCUUUUCUUGGCCUAUUCUGCUGUUAAUAAUUGUGAUUUCAUUGUGAAGUUCACUCAGCUCUAACAGUGCUGGGAUUACAAGCGUGAGCUACCACACCCAGCGAGGAAGCCAAGUUUAACGUGUGUGCUCCACUCCUCCAACCUGGCCAAAGGGCAGUCAUCAUCACUGGCCACUGCUGACCACAGCCUUUAGAAACUCCCCUUGAACGUGCUGGGCUGACCUUCCUCUGAUCACAGGCAAGGUUGUAGAUGAGCAUGAGAGUGUGGAGCAGAGUUGGCGAGUGCAAGUCGAGCCCAUCAACCUGGACAGCUGUCUCCGUGCUUUCACCAGUGAGGAAGAGCUAGGGGAAGAUGAGAUAUACUACUGUUCCAAGUGUAAGACCCACUGCUUUAGCAACAAAGAAGCUGGAUCUCUGGAGGCUUCCACCCUUCCUGAUUAUUCACCUUAAGCGAUUUCAAUUUGUAAAUGAUCAGUGGAUAAAAUCACAGAAAAUUGUCAAAUUUCCUCGGGAAAGUUUUGAUCCGAG